UCGUGUUGACAAUGAUGAUAAUAAUGUUUCCGAGCACACGCGCGUCUGCAGUACGAUCGAUGAGAACUGACGAUAGUAUAUUAUAUUAUUAUAAUAAUUUUAUCGUCUCAUAAAACAUUUUUUUUUUUUUUUUUUUGAAAUAUUCGAGUAACUUAGAUUAUUAUUAAGUCGUAUUUUCGUUACAUCGCAGGCAUGCUCGUCGUAUACAAACGUACUUUAUUAUAGUGCGUAAUCAAUGCGUAUUUAGAUGAGUUAAAUUUAAUAUGCCAAAAUAACAAUUUGAAAAAAAAUACAUGUUCUCUAACUUGUUUUACGUAAACAAUAAUGAUUCGACAUUUAAAUGAUCCUCGGCAGUACAUUGGGCACUUGGAUCGUUUUUAAACAAUUUAUUGAAUCGUACGUUAAGAAACAGUCAAAUUGAUAUAAACGCGGACGGCGACACAAGGCAGUUAGAUUCUAAAUUACGAGACGUUAAAGAAGUUUUUCCGUUAAUGAAAGAAGUAGAUUGUCCUUACCAAGCUGCAAGAUGGCCAAUGGAAUGUCAAGUCCUAGACGAUCCCGUUGUUCACAUUCACCCGACAUUGGCAUCUUAUUCAGAAAAAGAGCCUCUAUACAAAUUUACAGGCAAAGAAAUACAACCAAAACAAGUAGGCGAAGAUUCAGGAGAAGUAAUAUUUAAAUAUUACCCUAUCAGUAGCGUAAAUUAUUUUUGUCGUUCAGCCGUUGGUGGUAGUGCGUGUUCUCUAGCACAUAGUAGUCAAGAUCCUUCUGAUUUGAUUUUUGAAUCACGUUUUGAAUCUGGUAACCUAGCCAAAGUAGUUAAAAUAACGAGUACAUAUUAUGAGUUAUCACUAAGAUCAGAUAUGUAUACAAAUCGACACACUCAAUGGUUCUAUUUUCGAAUAGAAAAUACAAAAAAAAACAUUAAAUAUAGAUUUUCAAUUGUCAAUAUGUAUAAAUCUGAAAGUCUUUUCACUGCUGGUAUGAAACCGUUGUUAUACUCUACUAAAGACGCAAGUCAGAAAAACGUGGGCUGGAGACGUUGUGGGGAAAGCAUCGCAUAUUACAAAAACGAUGCACCAAACGGUGACAGCGAAGAUAACCCGCGUUACAUCUUUUCGUUUCUCUUAGAGUUCCCGCACGAUAUGGAUACUGUAUAUCUAGCCUACAACUAUCCAUACACAUAUACAGAUCUACAAGACUAUCUGAUAAAGCUCAAGGACGACCCAGUUAAAGCGGUGUUUACAAAGCUUAGAGUUCUGUGCCGAACAUUAGCUGGCAAUAAUGUGCAUUACUUAACUGUAACGGAGCCAUGUCAAGAAGAAGAUCCAAAACAAAAAAAAGUGAUUGUUUUAACAGCGCGUGUCCAUCCAUCCGAAACGCCAUCUUCUUGGAUGAUGAAAGGAUUUAUUGAUUUUUUAACUGGUGAUUCAUUACAAGCAAAGGAAUUACGGAAUCGUUUUAUUUUCAAAUUGAUACCAAUGUUGAAUCCCGAUGGCGUAGUUGUUGGUAAUAGUAGAUGUUCUUUAAAUGGACGAGACUUAAAUCGACAAUAUCGUAGCGUUAUUCGUGAUGCCCAUCCGGUUAUUUGGCAUACAAAGCUUAUGCUUCGAAGAUUAAUUGAAGAACGUCAAGUAGUGAUGUUUUGCGAUUUACAUGCACAUUCGAGGAAGUCAAACAUUUUCAUGUAUGGUUGUGAAGGGAAAGGCCACGAAGGGAGAAAACUGCAAGAGCAAAUAUUCCCUCUUUUAUUACACAAAAACGCUCCAGAAAAAUUUUCAUUCGAAGAUUGCAAUUUCAACAUUCAGCGUUCUAAGGAAAACACGGCUCGUGUAGUCGUUUGGCUGAUGGGUGUCGAAAACAGCUACACAAUGGAAGCGUCAUUUUGUGGUUCAUCUCUUGGUUCUCGGGCGAAUACUCAUCUCACCAUCAAAGACUUUGAAGAUAUUGGACAAACGUUUUGUGAAACCUUGUUGGACUACUAUAACGAGGAUCCUCGAAAUGAAAAAAUGAAAUUGAAAAUAUGUAGCCGAUUAAUGGAACAGGGCUCAAAUGCGGAACAACCGAAAAAUAUUGAUAUAUCAGAUUACUCGAGUGACGAGAGCUCAACGAGUGUAUGUGAAGAAAUUGUUGACAAGUUGAGUUUUGAAGAAGAUGUCACAUCUUUGACACAACUAUCAAUUAUUGUACCUCCCAGUACACCAGUUGUGCCGAAACGAAAAUCACGAAAAAAAAAAAGAAAAUCAAAAGAUUGUAGUACGAAAAUUAUUACGCCAUAAUAGCUGUUUGGAUGUUGUAAUUACUUGUAAAGCUCUCAAUGUUCUAAUCUUUAACUUUACAGGGUAGCAAUAGUCAUUGUAACCAAUGUAACCAGUACCUAUAAUAUGGAAAAAGUUGAAACUUUCAAACAACAACCUCGGACCUCCACUCCCACAACAACCAAACCCUCCAAAACCGUCACAGCAACAACAGCAGUUAACAAUGCCUCUUUUGACACAUUGUGAAACAACUCCACAUGAACAGAUUUCCAUGUCUUGCCUGAAGAUAGCCGACACAUUGUAUCAUCUGGGUAAAAUGUAUAAUACUACAUAUGCAUUUUUUGUGGCUCCAGUCGGACGCUAGCCACACUUUGACCACGUCCUGCGCAUUGACGCACAACAAGUUCAAGUCAACGUCGACGUGCGUGCGAUACUCCCGGGCCAUCGUGGCCUUCCAGGACGCGAUGCCGUCCUUUUGCUCGAUCGUCGCCUCCUGGACGACUGUAUCGUGUCCAACAAGUGCUUGUACGCCGCUUCCAGCAUCUUUUCCUCGUCCUUGAACAUGGGCUUCCCGCACACGGCCAAUUUACACAUGUAAUGAACCACAUCCGAGGACCGGUUGGCUUCCUUAGCCAUUUUUACAAACCACAACCACUUUUCUUUCGUUUCCACACCUGCGGCAGCGAGCGCUUGUUCAACGUCCAUUUUUUUUCUCGGCGCAUUUUUUCGAAUAUAAGGACUAUAAUAUUAUCUAUUAAGUAGGUUAUAUUUAUCCAUUCAACAAGAAUAGAAUACUGUAAUGAUAUGCUCGAUUCUACAUAUCAUGAUUUUUGUAAAGUCGUUAUUUUCAUUUAAUAAAAUAUAUAACGGUCGAGUUGUCGCACGCAUGUAAUAAAAUCUAAAAUAACCCCAAUAAAUCAAGUCACUGGUGAUUGGAACGAUUCCUAUUAUCUAGUCUCGUACAGGACACUGUACGGGAUUAUAACAUGCAACUUCUUUCAUGUGCCGCCGGAGACGGGGGAUGGUUCGGUCAGGGUCGCUUUCACCAGGGAAAAAGACAAUUUUCUUUGGGGACACCGACACCUUUGAUCGGGCCGCCGAUGACUCUGGCGGACCUGGCCUAAAUCGUCUCCUCUCAUCAGUGCAUGAGCACCCUCCAUAGCGAGAAGUGUACGAGCACAUCCAAAACAUAUAAGUGCACGAGCACCACUAAAACAGACAAGUGCAGGAGCACAGCAGACUUACACACAACCACUCAAAAGACAUUGCCUACGACAACUUUACUGUUUCUUUUUCUAUAACGAAAUUUG